AUUGAACGCUGGCGGCAGGCCUAACACAUGCAAGUCGAACGAGUGGCGGACGGGUGAGUAAUGUCUGGGAAACUGCCUGAUGGAGGGGGAUAACUACUGGAAACGGUAGCUAAUACCGCAUACCAUCAGAUGUGCCCAGAUGGGAUUAGCUUGUUGGGGGGGUAACGGCUCACCAAGGCGACGAUCCCUAGCUGGUCUGAGAGGAUGACCAGCAACAAUGGAACUGAGACACGGUCCAGCCGCCUACGGGAGGCAGCAGUGGGGAAUAUUGCACAAGGGGCGAAAGCAUGAUGCAGGCAUGCCGCGUGUAUGAAGAAGGCAUUCGGGUUGUAAAGUAAGUUCAGCGGGGAGGCGUUACCCGCAGAAGAAGCAACGGCUAACUCCGAGCCAGCAGCCGCGGUAAUAC
rnacentral:rRNA from 1 species